GUGUGUGUGUAUGUGUGUGUGU
rnacentral:miRNA from 1 species